CCUUACCUGGCCUUGACAUCCAGAGAACUUUCCAGAGAUGGAUUGGUGCCUUCGGGAACUCUGAGACAGGUGCUGCAUGGCCGUCGUCAGCUCGUGUCGUGAGAUGUUGGGUUAAGUCCCGUAACGAGCGCAACCCCUAUCCCUGGUUGCUAGCAGGUAAUGCUGAGAACUCCAGGGAGACUGCCGGUGACAAACCGGAGGAAGGUGGGGAUGACGUCAGGUCAUCAUGGCCCUUACGGCCAGGGCUACACACGUGCUACAAUGGCGCGUACAGAGGGCUGCCAACUCGCGAGAGUGAGCCAAUCCCUUAAAACGCGUCGUAGUCCGGAUCGGAGUCUGCAACUCGACUCCGUGAAGUCGGAAUCGCUAGUAAUCGCGAAUAAGAAUGUCGCGGUGAAUACGUUCCC
rnacentral:rRNA from 1 species